GAACGCUGGCGGAAUGCUUACACAUGCAAGUCGAACGGUAGAGGGGGCAACCCCGUUGAGAGUGGCGAACGGGUGAGUAAUAUAUCGGAACGUGCCCAGUCGUGGGGAUAACGUAGCGAAAGUUACGCUAAUACCGCAUACGAUCUAAGGAUGAAAGCGGGGGAUCGCAAGACCUCGCGCGAUUGGAGCGGCCGAUAUCAGAUUAGGUAGUUGGUGAGGUAAAGGCUCACCAAGCCAACGAUCUGUAGCUGGUCUGAGAGGACGACCAGCCACACUGGAACUGAGACACGGUCCAGACUCCUACGGGAGGCAGCAGUGGGGAAUUUUGGACAAUGGACGCAAGUCUGAUCCAGCCAUUCCGCGUGCAGGAUGAAGGCCCUCGGGUUGUAAACUGCUUUUGUACGGAACGAAAAGGUUUCUAUUAAUACUAGGAGCUCAUGACGGUACCGUAAGAAUAAGCACCGGCUAACUACGUG
rnacentral:rRNA from 1 species